rnacentral:rRNA from 1 species
UAGGGAAUCUUCGGCAAUGGACGAAAGUCUGACCGAGCAACGCCGCGUGAGUGAAGAAGGUUUUCGGAUCGUAAAACUCUGUUGUUAGAGAAGAACAAGGACGUUAGUAACUGAACGUCCCCUGACGGUAUCUAACCAGAAAGCCACGGCUAACUACGUGCCAGCAGCCGCGGUAAUACGUAGGUGGCAAGCGUUGUCCGGAUUUAUUGGGCGUAAAGCGAGCGCAGGCGGUUUCUUAAGUCUGAUGUGAAAGCCCCCGGCUCAACCGGGGAGGGUCAUUGGAAACUGGGAGACUUGAGUGCAGAAGAGGAGAGUGGAAUUCCAGGUGUAGCGGUGAAAUGCGUAAAUAUAUGGAGGAACACCAGUGGCGAAGGCGGCUCUCUGGUCUGUAACUGACGCUGAGGCUCGAAAGCGUGGGGAGCAAACAGG